GUCAGCAUGCCUGUGUCUGAAUAUUUACACAAAUGAAUGCAUGUUUAUAGAUAAGUUUUAGAUUUUGGCUAAUCUUAUGAUUCCCUUCAUCUUCUGUGUUCUCGCGCGUGCACCUUCACACAAGCAAUGCUUCUGUUUUUUUCUUCCCCUUCUCCCCAUGGCUAUAUAUUCAGCUGCUUUUGACCUCAAUAAACAGUUGCAAGUAGCACCUUGUCCUGUCUUUGUUCUUUCUUACAGUGUUGUCUCUGUUGGCGCUUCAUCUUCUGAAAGCCCUUCACCAAGUAGCCCCACAACGUGUUCUACUGGAAAACUACCACUAGACAGUGAUCUUCCAUUUCUUGACCUCAUUGUUUUCUUUGGAAGGACGCAAGCAUUGCAAGGAGCCAUUUGACCUGCCGCCACACUAAUAUUGUAUUUGGCAAAGCCGAAAGCCUCUGCAAGCAGCCAGUCAUUCCAAGUCUCAACCAAUCCUUCCUCCAGUCAGCUAAUUUCUAGUGUCCAUGCGGAGAGGACUUGCGCAAGAGUGGACACUGGACACUAAAAAGGCGACAAGGACAGACGUAAACUUCCAACCGGUGUUCAUUACAAAAAGGUAUGUAUAUGUACUCUUGCACACUUGAUCAUAAUCUGUUACAAUCGUGCAAGUCAACAUGGCCAUCACAAAUAAACGAGCGCACCAAGGCCUAAGGCGGCU